rnacentral:rRNA from 1 species
GAAAAAAAGGUCUCGUUGGUGACCAGCGGAGGGAUCAUUACCGAGUUUACAACUCCCAAACCCCUGUGAACAUACCAAUUGUUGCCUCGGCGGAUCAGCCCGCUCCCGGUAAAACGGGACGGCCCGCCAGAGGACCCCUAAACUCUGUUUCUAUAUGUAACUUCUGAGUAAAACCAUAAAUAAAUCAAAACUUUCAACAACGGAUCUCUUGGUUCUGGCAUCGAUGAAGAACGCAGCAAAAUGCGAUAAGUAAUGUGAAUUGCAGAAUUCAGUGAAUCAUCGAAUCUUUGAACGCACAUUGCGCCCGCCAGUAUUCUGGCGGGCAUGCCUGUUCGAGCGUCAUUUCAACCCUCAAGCCCCCGGGUUUGGUGUUGGGGAUCGGCGAGCCCUUGCGGCAAGCCGGCCCCGAAAUCUAGUGGCGGUCUCGCUGCAGCUUCCAUUGCGUAGUAGUAAAACCCUCGCAACUGGUACGCGGCGCGGCCAAGCCGUUAAACCCCCAACUUCUGAAUGUUGACCUCGGAUCAGGUAGGAAUACCCGCUGAACUUAAGCAUAUCUAA